CGAGUCGCUUUGUCGUUUCUAACUUCAGGACCGUGGACAGCGGCAAAGGCCUAGUUGUUGACGCUCAGUUCGUAGAGCCCACGCUAGAGAUGGGGUCCGUCCGAUUCUUAACGGCUGUACAGAGACUCUUGCUGGUAUUUCUGUCGCUGUGACAGCAUGUAGGGUUGUAUGCUGCUGAUUUUCCGUAAUGUUAUUUCAAGGUAAAAGGAACUGUGCAGCAGCGCGGCGGUUCUCUGAAGGAGAAUGGCACCAUAGAGCCUCGUCCAGGGCCCUCGUAGAUUAAUGAAGUCACACUGAGUCAUUUCACAUUAUCUCCUCAGCUCAUAAUAACAGCCCCCACCACCAUCCAACCCCCCAUCCCCCCAGGUUGCAGUCCCUCCCCCAUGGGCCCUGGCAGGUUGAGCUCAGUUACUGCAGAGGUCAUGCACAAAAUCAGCUAAAUAUGAAGAAAUGAGGGUUAUUAUUUCCCCUGAAGGGCUGCUGUGUUUCAUUAGAGAGGCGCUGGAUAUCAUUUCAGAGACUCACAGCCAAAAAACAGCCCCAAAAAUAAAUCGCUAAUGAAAAGGC